rnacentral:tRNA from 1 species
GGCCUUGUGAUGUUUAGCAUAUAAAAUUGCAAAUUUUAAAGUGCGAAGAGCUUUCGCCGGGGCUU